CCUGAGCAAGACAGGAACUGAACCUUGUGCCCAGGAGUCUGUGAUUGGUGCGAUAGGCUCUGUGAAUGAUAAAAAGAAGUUAUUGGCUAAAAGCAGGCAAUUGCAGGGACAAAUGCCUUUGGGGCAGCCCUGAAUCCAACACACCACUGAAUAAAACGAUGUUGAUAAUCAGACGGGGAGGUAAAGAAAUCAUUGGAACAAGAAAGGAAAAGGGAAAUGAACUCUCAACUACAAAUACACAGGGUAGAGCACAGAACAAUCAAGCUAUCAAAAAAGUAAAACCAGAGGAUAGAGAAAGAAAAGAGUAAAAGAAUUCAAGUCCCAUUGUGAACUCUUUGUGAAUGGGUAUUCUGAAGUUGGUCCAUUUGGUUCAACUGACCUCUAUCAUCUGAAGAAGCAAGUCUCUGGCUUCCUGGACUGUGUACGGCAAUGUCUGGCUGGUAAUAUAGCGAUCAUGAAGAACUUGCAUGGUUGACUCCACAAUCUCUUGCACAAUGUCACAAACAAAGUCUUCCCCCUCCUCGCCUUCCACCAUAAGGUUCCUAUUAUACGCAAUAAAGGGUUGAAAACAAA